ensembl:snRNA U6 U6 spliceosomal RNA
AAAAAAUACAUUUUAAAAUUGGAAUGAUACAGAGAAGAUUAACACUGCCCCUGUGCAAGGAUGACUUCUAAAUUUGUGAAGACUUCCAUGUUUUC